AUCGCUUCUCGGCCUUUUGGCUAAGAUCAAGUGUAAUAGUGAUCUGAUAAUUUACUUAUCAAACUUAUAACGAGCAUACUAUAU
rnacentral:sRNA from 1 species